AUGCCUUACACAUGCAAGUCGAACGGCAGCGCGGGAGCAAUCCUGGCGGCGAGUGGCGAACGGGUGAGUAAUAUAUCGGAACGUGCCCAGUAGUGGGGGAUAGCCCGGCGAAAGCCGGAUUAAUACCGCAUACGACCUGAGGGUGAAAGCGGGGGAUCGCAAGACCUCGCGCUACUGGAGCGGCCGAUAUCAGAUUAGCUAGUUGGUGGGGUAAAGGCCUACCAAGGCAACGAUCUGUAGUUGGUCUGAGAGGACGACCAGCCACACUGGGACUGAGACACGGCCCAGACUCCUACGGGAGGCAGCAGUGGGGAAUUUUGGACAAUGGGCGCAAGCCUGAUCCAGCAAUGCCGCGUGCAGGAAGAAGGCCUUCGGGUUGUAAACUGCUUUUGUCAGGGAAGAAAUCUUCUGGGCUAAU
rnacentral:rRNA from 1 species